rnacentral:rRNA from 1 species
CAGCGCCACGAGUGGCAAUCGUGUAUUUGGCCUAAAGCGUCCGUAGCCGGAUUUGUAAAUCUUUUGUGAAAUCGUUGAGCUCAACUUAACGGCGUGCAGAAGACACUGCAGAUCUCGAGACCGGGAGGAGAUAGAGGUAUUCUAGGGGGAGCGGUAAAAUGCUAUAAUCCCUGGAGGACCACCAGUGGCGAAGGCGUCUAUCCAGAACGGAUCUGACGGUGAGGGACGAAAGCCAGGGGAGCGAACCGGAUUAGAUACCCGAGUAGUCC